GUACACACCGCCCGUCGCUACUACCGAUUGAAUGGCUUAGUGAGGCGUUUGGAUGGUUAAGAUUAGCUUUUUCGGAAGCCAUUCUUAACUAAAAGAUCGUCAAACUUGGUCAUUUAGAGGAAGUAAAAGUCGUAACAAGGUUUCCGUAGGUGAACCUGCAGAA
rnacentral:rRNA from 1 species